rnacentral:rRNA from 1 species
AACCAGACUCCUACGGGAGGCAGCAGUGAGGAAUAUUGGUCAAUGGUCGGGAGACUGAACCAGCCAAGCCGCGUGAGGGAUGAAGGUACAGAGUAUCGUAAACCUCUUUUGUCAGGGAACAAAGGCGGGGACGCGUCCCCGGAUGAGUGUACCUGAAGAAAAAGCAUCGGCUAACUCCGUGCCAGCAGCCGCGGUAAUACGGAGGAUGCGAGCGUUAUCCGGAUUUAUUGGGUUUAAAGGGUGCGUAGGCGGGCUGUUAAGUCAGCGGUCAAAUGUCGGGGCUCAACCCCGGCCUGCCGUUGAAACUGGCGGCCUCGAGUGGGCGAGAAGUAUGCGGAAUGCGUGGUGUAGCGGUGAAAUGCAUAGAUAUCACGCAGAACCCCGAUUGCGAAGGCAGCGUACCGGCGCCCGACUGACGCUGAAGCACGAAAGCGUGGGUAUCGAACAGGAUUAGAUACCCCCGUAC